rnacentral:rRNA from 1 species
CAGCCGUAAACAAUGUGCGUUAGGUGUGUCGGUAACCACGUGUUACUGAUGCGCCGAAGAGAAAUCGUGAAACGCACCACCUGGGAAGUACGGUCGCAAGGCUGAAACUUAAAGGAAUUGGCGGGGGAGCACCACAACAGGUGGAGCCUGCGGUUUAAUUGGAUUCAACGCCGGACAUCUCACCGGAUAAGACAGCUGAAUGACUGUCAAUCUGAAGGUUUUACAUGACUAGCUGAGAGGAGGUGCAUGGCGUCAGUGACU